rnacentral:rRNA from 1 species
CCUACGGGAGGCAGCAGUGAGGAAUAUUGGUCAAUGGACGAGAGUCUGAACCAGCCAAGUAGCGUGAAGGAUGACUGCCCUAUGGGUUGUAAACUUCUUUUAUAUGGGAAUAAACUGUUCCACGUGUGGGAUUUUGUAUGUACCAUAUGAAUAAGGAUCGGCUAACUCCGUGCCAGCAGCCGCGGUAAUACGGAGGAUCCGAGCGUUAUCCGGAUUUAUUGGGUUUAAAGGGAGCGUAGAUGGGUUGUUAAGUCAGUUGUGAAAGUUUGCGGUGCAACCGUCAAAUUGCAAUUGAUACUGGCAGGCUUGAGUGCAGUUGAGGUAGGCGGAAUUCGUGGUGUAGCGGUGAAAUGCUUAGAUAUCACGAAGAACCCCGAUUGCGAAGGCAGCUUACUAUACUGUGACUGACGUUGAUGCUCGAAAGUGUGGGUAUCAAACAGGAUUAGAUACCCCUGUAGUC